rnacentral:rRNA from 1 species
GAUCAGGCUGUUGGUGAGGUAAUGGCCCACCAAACCUGUAACCGGUACGGGCUCUGAGAGGAGGAGCCCGGAGAUGGGCACUGAGACAAGGGCCCAGGCCCUAUGGGGCGCAGCAGGCGCGAAACCUCUGCAAUAGGCGAAAGCUUGACAGGGUUACUCUGAGUGAUCUCCGUUAAGGAGAUCUUUUGGCACCUCUAAAAAUGGUGCAGAAUAAGGGGUGGGCAAGUCUGGUGUCAGCCGCCGCGGUAAUACCAGCACCCCGAGUGGUCGGGACGUUUAUUGGGCCUAAAGCAUCCGUAGCCGGUUCUACAAGUCUUCCGUUAAAUCCACCUGCUCAACAGAUGGGCUGCGGAAGAUACUAUAGAGCUAGGAGGCGGGAGAGGCAAGCGGUACUCGAUGGGUAGGGGUAAAAUCCGUUGAUCCAUUGAAGACCACCAGUGGCGAAGGCGGCUUGCCAGAACGCGCUCGACGGUGAGGGAUGAAAGCUGGGGGAGCAAACCGGAUUAGAUACCCGGGUAGUCCCAGCUGUAAACGAUGCAGACUCGGUGAU